rfam:Bombyx mori DNA, contig: Bm_scaf34_contig20823, strain: p50T/Dazao, build 2, whole genome shotgun sequence.
UUAACUCACUUUUGUAUGGAGUUGGAACGUUUGCCCACGUUUGCCGCUAGUGGCGUUGUUCCAACUCCAUACAAAUUUGAGUUA